UGUGUGUGUGUGUGUCUUUCAGGCAGAGAAUUCCGCACUGGCUAUGGAAAAUAAAAAUCAGAGAGAGCAGUAUGAAAGGUGUCUUGAUGAGGUAGCCAACCAGGUUGUACAAGCGCUGCUUACUCAGAAGGAUCUGAGAGAGGAAUGCUUGAAAUUGAAAACAAGAGUCUUUGACCUGGAACAACAAAACCAAACACUAAAUGUGCUAUUCCAGCAAAGAGUGAAACCAACAUCUGGCAUACUGUUUCAGGAAUGCCAGCAGAAUAUGAAAUCUGGAAUACCUGCCUUGAAAUGCCAGAGUCAGUUAAAUGGAAUUGGACCUCACCAAGUUUAUCCUCGAAGCAGCUGCAGCAGCAGUGAGCUCUCCUUGUCAAGUGCCUGCAGUGAAUAUUCCAGCAGUUCCUCCUGGAACGAUGGGAAAGCGUGCAGGAAAAAGUCAGUAAGCUGGGAUAAAAGGAUAAGUAUAGGCUCUUCACUCCCCAGCAACCAUUCCAGCCCUGCUGAUGAACUACCUCCAACUCAUAUCAAGGAAAACCACAUUUUGGAUGGGCUAAAGAAGCUACAAAAGCAAAAAAUAUUAUUAGAACCUCCUUCUCUUAUAUCCAAAUGGGGAUACAAAGAUUGCAUGGAUUCUAACGAAGGAAUCUAUUCUCCAGGAAUUAAGUACAGCGGUCAUAAAGAACAGGCCACUGGCAUGCCUGAAAUGGAGGCUGCUUGCACAGAUCACCCCCAAAUCUUUGUCUAUGAUUCUGAUUCCCAUGAGGAUGUAGAUGAUGACUCUUCAUCUUUAGCAUUGCUAUAUGAAGUACCAAGGAAAGACUGUCAGCACUACUGUAAUAAAUUAACUCACAGUGUUUCUGACAGCUUAUUUGGCUGGGAACCUGAUAGAAGGCAUUUAUCAGAAAUAAGUUCUUAUUUUAAUUCAAAGGAAAGGCCUGAAAAACUGACUAGUUUUGUCAAUGAAUUUCAGUUGGGUGCAAAAUCGUGCACUAAUAUGAAGCUGCCUGUGCUGCAGAUAGAUAAAAGUCUUUCCAGUGUAAGCUGGAGAGACCUUAAUUUACACCUUUCAGAUACUGAUGACAAUGAAAUCCUUGAUGAAUUACAUAUAGAAAGCAGCGAUGAGAAAAGCCCAUCAUAUUUGUCAUUAGCACCCUUUGCAGAAAAGAACACAGAGAACUCUGAUACGCAUGUGGAGAAAGAAAACACUCGACUGGCAUCUUCUGAAAAACAACCCAGUCAAAUGCUCACUCGCCCAGACAUUAGGACAAAGGCAUGUAAUUUUAUUAAGAAACAAAAAAUUAUAAAGAAGACUUCUUCAGAAGAAUGUAUUACUGUAAUAUUUGAUGCCGAAGAUGGCAAACCUAUUGAAUUCAAUUCACAUCAGGCUGGAAUUGUUACUGUAACUAGAAAUGAAAUUUCAAUCAACCAGCCGUAUUCUGGGUACAAUGCAGAAAACACUGCAUGUUUAUCUCAGGGAGUAUCUAAUUUGCAGAAAGCAAUAGAUACUAAAAGCUGCCAUGUUAUGCAAAUACCUGUUAAUAAAGCAGAGAGAAAAACUGCCCCAAAUGAUUUCAAGGAUGACUUUGCAAAGGUCCAGACUCCCUACGGCAGAGGAUGCCCCAUACACUUUGGAAAGCCACUGUUUCAAAACACCUCUCAGCAAAAGCUAGCAAAGCCAGUUUGCAGCAUUUCUUCUAAUCUGAGCUCCCCUUCUUGUAUCCAGGGGGGUAAUAAUCAAAAAUACAAAUUAACUAAAAUAUCCAGCAGAGACAAGUUUUUACCACAGAAAACAAAAGUGGGCAUGGCUGAAAACUUUCCUUUAGUCUCUUCGCAUUGUUUUAAGACCUUGGAUAAAAGUCCCUUGUCACCUGUAAAAUGGCCAAGACACAAAAAGAUGCAAAAUACAAAUCAGAAUUCAAAGGUAGGCUUGAAUAACUGCAAAGUAUUGGGCCAUCCAGCAGCCAAGAAUCUGCUCUCAGAAUCAACUGCCCUGCCUCAGCAUCUCAUAGAGCCCAUCAGUAGUGAAGAGAAAUCAACUAGAGAUGUCCAUUGUGAUAUACCACCGAUGGAGGCCAGCUCUCCAUCACCCCCCCUUCCUCCUGGCAGAUCAGCUUCGCUGUUGAUUAGACCAAAUUAUGAACAUUCACCCCCUGCCCGUGAUAAACCAGGUUUUCUCAGUGAGACAGUAAAAGAUGAUGUUCAGUUGACACCACUGAAAGGAAAUUCAGUGCCUGUUUGUCAUAACAUCACUGUCUGCGAAAUGCAAACUGAUAAAUUGCCUGCAACACCUCGAGCUGAAUUAAACCAUUUUCAGGACAAGGGAGAAGGCAAAUGUAUAUCAGAAAAGCCCCCGGCCGCAAGCCAAGUCAUUUCCAAGAUGUUUACAAAGAAAGUUUGUCCCCCAAACUCAAACCCACCCGUGUUUUGCAGUAACAGAGAAUUUUAUAAUUCCAGAGCCAUCCCCACAGCUUUCACAUCACAAGAUACAAACCCAUUGUCUCAGGAGACUGGUAUACUUCAGAAACCAAAGUUUCCAGAGAGUUUCUCCACUUCACCAGAACAUCACAUAAGCACAGUUGGGGAGCAGACUGUUCUGCCUCAAAUUAGUCCUUCUCCAGUCUUAUUGUUAUCUCAGGGCAGGGAUGAUGGAAACCUGUCUGACAAGGACCUGAAGCCUCAUCUGUCUGCGGGACUGAAAUUACUCAUAACAUCUCCCCGCUUUGUCCGAAAGAGUUCCACCGUGCCAGGGAAACAGGAAAAAGACUGUAUGAACGCAGCCUCUAAAUGCAGUGUGAAUUCAAAUAAACAGAGGCAGGGUGAAUCUUCAUCUCAAACCACCAUAGACUUAGCUGACACUGAAGAAAGGAGUCCAGAGCCCCAAAUAAAGGAAAGUUUCUCAAAGAAGCUCAGAAUGGAUCCAGCCUUCCCCACUUCCCCUGAAACUUGCAAUUUGAUAGAGAAAGACAGGCUCGAAAACAAAUCUGUUAAAAGAUCAGUUUCUUCUAGUAAUAAAGCAUACCUGAAGCCAGCUCUUGGUAUGACUGGAGCAAAGGCCCGUAGUCAAAGCUUCAGUAUUUAUACUGAAGAAAUAUUGCCAGCACCUUCCCUAGAACGGUUUGGAAAAGUUAGAACACAGAUUAUAACAAAUACAUCAGAAAGAGGGAAUUCUUUAACCAGACAAAACUCAACAGGGGAGGGAUUACAAAUUAAGAUUGUUUCGGAAUCAGCUGGGACAACAGAGGGAGUUCCUGCAGUUUCUUGUAGUAGGCAAGGCAUUUGUGCAAAAGUGAGUAGUUCCAGUAGUCAGAUGAGUAGCCCAAGCAAACUGCCAUUCCGUAUGUCUCCAAAAGGAGAUUUAUUUGCCAGUAUUUCAAAAAAGGGGAUCCACAAAUCAGCAUCACAGAGCGAAGUUCCAAGUACAUCUGGCCAAGAUGAAAAAAGCAGUGACAUUUCCAGACAUCAAUCAACAAUUGAAAAAAGUGUUACCCAAGCAGAAAUCAACCAAGCAACCAGUAUUUCUUCAGAGCAAAUUUUCCCACUUCAGAAAAAUCUGGACAGGAUGGAGUGUCAUCGUAAAGCUGAAGGAAGCAAGACAGUAUUGCAAGAAGCGUGUCUAAAUGGUCCCGAAGCCUCCGCGAAGGUUUCAGUUUCAACUACUUCACAUCCUACAAUAGAAGAAAAAGUCAUGUUGUGCAUACAAGAGAACAUGCAGAAAGGACAAGGGCAAAAUCGAUCUGCCACUGAGAUGAAACAAAAAAACGGGGGACCUUCUAUUGCCAGCUGGUUUGGUUUCCGUAAAAGUAAGCUCCCAGCCUUGAAUAACAGAAAAACAGAUACCUCAAAAGUAAAAGUAGAAAAGAAAGAUGUGAAAGUUUCAGCUUUUGGAAGUAAGCAAACCAAGUCUGAAAGAAGGAAAGACAAAAAGAAAAGUGAACAGCACUGUGAAGCAGAAAAUGAGCUGAACAAGAAAACUUGUGCGGUUUCAGAUGGUGCUCCAAAAGGAAAAAAAAUGGCAAAAGCCAUACAUAGUAACCUAAGCCAAACAAGAUUCGAGCAGAAGAGCAGCCCUACUACCAUGUACUCAGGAAAAGACAACUUUAUGAAAGAGCUUUUACACAGAGUUGAUAAGAAAGCAGCCCAGCAGACAGAAAGUGGAUCAAAAAAUGUUUCCUACAGGAGCGUGUCGAAGAGCAUAUCCCAGGGUUCUUCUCUUCCCAGCAACUCUAUCAAUACUCAGAGAAACCAGAAGAAAAACAGCAAAACAAAGAUUGAUAUAGAAAUACCAAAUGAGUCCUUGGUCAAGGAAGUAAGGGAAAACUUUCAAGAGGAUGCAGAAGAUACACUCGCAGAUUCAACAAAUCAAAGCCAUUUAAUAGAAUCCUGUUGCCAAAUGAGGACAUUGGACAGUGGAAUAGGAACCUUUCCUCUCCCAGACUCAGGAAACCGUUCAACAGGCCGACAUGUUUCUAAACAAGGAAUGGAUUUAGAAAACGAAGAUUUCACAUCACCUGAGCAACCUUUUCCUCAGACUCCUUCUGAGAAAGCCAAAACCCUAGAACGAGAAGUGCCUUCAACAACUAGUAAAAGCCAGGGAUCUGUAGAGAGCAUAAUUUCUCAUUCAGCAUCAGAUCCUGCAAUGACUGAUAGAGGUGUGCAGACUUUUCAGAGUCGUCUUCCAAAAUCAGCUUCUUCAGGAAUAACAAGCCCCAUGGAAAAACAUAGUCAAGAAUCUAGUUCUUUGGCUUCUGCCUCAUUAGAACAUUCAGAAGAAGAAAAAAGUGGCAAUGCAAAGAUGUUUUCAGACUGGAGCAGCAAAAAUGCUAUCAAAGCCAAGGACAGGGCACUGAGAGUGUGCACUUACUCUGCUAGCAGUAGCAGUGAUACCGAAAUGGAUCUAGAGCAUGAAACAAAUGAUUUUGGAACUGGAGGGGAAACGUUGGUAGAUUUAAUGAAGAACAACAAACAAGGUGGUGUUGAACACACCUGGCUGGUUCUGGAUUAAUUUAGAAACAUGUUUAGGAGAUGACCUUGGAAGAGAUUGCUCAAGUGAGUUACAUUACUUCAUUUCUAAACAGCACUGAACAUCUACAACUGGAUUCUCAUCAUGGGCAUCAGUGUGCCAGAAAUUGAAGCAACCUGAGGAAACAAAAGAAGAUUCUGGAAAAAAAAAAAAGGAUGUCUAAAAUUUGCCCUGAAUCUCUCAAUACAUUUAAUAGCAACAGAUGCAUUUUGUUGGGGGAAAAAUAACAGUCCAAACAAGGUUGAAGGGCAAGAAGAAGAUGGGAAGAAUGAAGAAAUGUCUCUAAGUAGUUCUUGAAGUAUAGAACACAUAGAAUCUUUGAGCAAUUCUUUAUAUGAUAGCUUCUCAACCAGUGCAAGCUAAGAGUCAUACAAUGUUUAAAGACACGCUACAGUGAUGAAGCACUUAAGAAACAGAAGAACUAACUAAGAGCAGUUAAAUAUAUCAAGAGUUGCUAAGACUCACAAUAGCAUAUAUCCUGAUGUAAUCAUACAAUAAAGAGAGGAGACUGCAUCCUUGGGAAAAGAAAGAAAAUGCAAUACCUGUAACACAGUUAUAACUUUUAAAGUCUUAAUUUGCACUUUUAUGAAUUCUUGUACAGAAGUUGUAAAAAUGUUCUUUGACAAAGAAAAUUAUAUUUGUAGAAAAACAUGAUAGCAAUAAAUACUAAUUCAUGCCAUGCUUCUGAAAUGGCACAUUACUAACUUUGAAUACUGGUCUUAAUGUUAACAAAAUUAGUGAUCAUUUUUAUAAAAUAAAGUUUUAUAAACAUUCUAGUCUUAAAAUUGUAUGCAGCUGAAUCGCUUUAUUUGCCAAAAUUGAAGUUGCCAAAUUACACUAAAACUGCUUGGAUCACAUUAUACAACAUAAAAAUGUUAUUUUGAAACCAAGAUUUAUUAUGAAUUCACACUUCCAAAAGAUACUCCAUCUGUAAUCUUCUAUCAUUGAUAUAUCUUAUGCUGAUUUAACCUGUAUUCGGAUUUUAUCUUGUUAUUUCAGAAUCAUGGAGAAAAGGCCAUUUAGAUUUGUAAUUUACAUGUUAAAUUUUUGUAAUAAGGAAAAAAAUGGUGCUAGCAAAGAAAUUUGUGAAGGUUGUUUUUCCUACAAAGACUGUUUAUAUGUGAGGGAAACAUCUAUUUCAAAGGUGGAGUGUUAUUUUUUUCUAGAUGUGGAGUAUUUAUAACAACUUUUGUACAGCGAUCUGUAAGCUAGCUAUGUUUGUGAUACUUCUAGUCAUUUUACUACGUUUAUAGCAAAUUCCUAUUCAUUUUUCCUCACACUAUGAUGUAAUAUCAGUGUUAUGUUAUUAAUACGUUUGUGCAUGUUACAUUUUAUGUUGUUUUAAAUAUACUGUCAGGGUGGGAUUUUAUUCUCUCAGACUUUUAUAAAAUUUAUUUUGGAAGUUAUUUCUGAAUAAAAGUCGUAUCACAUCUGGAUAUUCUAAUAUAUAUGACAAAAUAGUCAUUUCAGCAAACAUUAAUCCAUGGAAAUG